CCGCCCGUCACGUCAUGAAAGUUGGAGACGCCUGAAGUCGGUCCGCGAACUCGCAAGAGACGCAGCCGCCGAGGGUGGUGCCAGCGAUUGGGACG
rnacentral:rRNA from 1 species